UUUCCGUAGGUGAACCUGCGGAAGGAUCAUUAUUGUACCACCGAGGAGCGAGGGCUGGCGCUGACCCGCUAGGUCGUGCACGCGCGAGAGCCUGUAUACACCUACAUCUCAUCCCUCUGUGCACUACCGCGCGGAUCCCCCUUUGGCCUGUUCGGCGGCGUGCCUACCCUUUCACAUAAACUUUGUACGUAGUGUAGACUCUCUUUUUUGUCUUUGCUAUUACGAAAUUAUUACCCCUUGCACCAACGGCUUUCUUGUCUCUCGCAUCGAUGAAGAAGC
rnacentral:misc_RNA from 1 species